rnacentral:lncRNA from 1 species
GCAAUGAGGCGCAGACGUGCUGGGGAGAAGGGGCAGGGGCGGCCAAAGCCAGAUGAUUAUUUUAGUAAUCUUAGUUUAUGGUGCGCUUACUAUGUACGAGGAGGUGUUCCGAGGGUUUUCUGGAUAUCUUCACAACUCCAUGAGGUGAGUAUAACUGACACUCCCAUUUACAGAUGAAGAAACAGAAGCAUAAAGGUGUGAUUUGCCCAAAGACACAGAGGAAUAAUUCAAACCCCUCAGCGCUCACUAGAGACCCUAUUGGAGGCAGGGCUGUUGAAAGGGGGUCUUAAGCAAAACGGGAGGGUGCAUGCUUCCUCUCCUUUCUCCAGGUCUUUUCCCAAAUAUACUAUUAUUAGCAGAGUUAAGUCAUUGUGUACCUACAGUGUGCCAGGCACUGUGCGAGUGUUUGACACUGAGUCUUCAUAACGACCCUGCGAAGCAGGUCCCCAUUAUAAAAUAUAGCCCCAUUUACAGCAGGUCGGCGGCAGUGCCUGAACUCGAACCAGAUCUGAGACAGGUUGAGCCUUCCUCAAGGCGACGAUGAAGUCUAGACGCACAACCCGCAGCUUCCAGGAGAAGAAGGUGCGGUUUCCCUGCACAAAAGCCUUGAAGCUGGGUUGAGGGGUCAGGAGAAGCUUUCAGUUGUCGACUCGGAGGCCUACAUUCCGGGCCCUCCAGGUCCUAGAACCCGGCCCUGCCCCUUCAAAACACCAACCCCAUCAACCGAACAAAUGCCUGUCUAGAGGAGUCUGCAUCCAGGGGUCCCCGCAGGAACCUCAGGAAUCUCAGAGCCGCGCCCCGCUACCCUAAGGCUCGGUCCCGCCCGGAUUUAGACUCCGCCCCAUCCAACACCACCUCCACCCGGCCAAUCCAGGCUCCUGCCCUGCGGUUCUCAGACUUUCCGCCCCGCUUGGACUCAGCACCGGCUACUCCUAGACAGGCCUGGGCCCUCCGGACCCACCUGCCCCUCCCAAGUCAAUGACCGCGUCUCCAGCCGCUUCCCUGCUCUGCGGCCUGAUGAGUCCCCCACCUGCAGGUAGGCGAAGGGCGCAGGCGCCAGCCUGAAAUAUACCUAGAGGACAGUUGGCUGUGGCAGUCUUGGAGACCAGGCAGGAAGUCCAAGGUGAAAGCGACAAGGAAAGCCUGCAGGGCACGAAGGUCUUCAAGGCCAAGUGCUCUAAUUCACUCCCCAUUCGGGUCCAGACCCACUCUCGCAGCAGGAUGCGCCUACCUUCUGAGACUUCCAAACCUAUGACUGCUAUCCCAACUCCAUCUCCCAUUUCUCUAUCAUGUGGGCCCUGCCCCCCAACACCCCCUGCCCCCAUCCCUGACCUCUGUUUCCCCUCCGAUCCUGUAUCCCCUCCCCUUGACUGUGCUCACAUUCACCAUUGCCGACAGGUGGUCCGUGGCCUCUAGCAGGAGCAGACAGAUGCCCUAAACCCCUGUGCCUUUUGGCCACUGGCUGCUGGUACUCACACAGGAAACUGGGAUCUCAUUGUUGAGCAGAGAGAACAGGGGCGUCAGCAGGAAGGCCACCACAAAGAUGGUGAUGAACUCAAGCUGCAGCACUGGGAGACAGGGAGCCUCAGGCCUGGGCCAGCUCCCCAGUGUGUCAGGUCCCCCAUGCCCCAUGCACACACCCAUACUGCAGGGUCACUGCUCACCUAUCCCCAGGUAUUCAUCAAGCAGGCCCUUGCACUGGAUGAGCUCAUAGUUCUCUGAGUGCUGCAGCUCCUGCCUUGUCUAGAUGUCCCACAUCCUUGCCAGCUGCCCCUGCUGCUUCUGGGCCUUCAGCCUCCUGCAGCAGAGGCAGGGAAACCUGAUAAUAGCUGUAACAAUAUCCUGUGUCAGGAACGACCAUUUCUAUUCCUCCAACACUCCUUAGAGUCAGCACGAUAUUCCCACCUGACAGAGGAGAAUCAGAGACCUAGAGACUUUGCCCAAGGCUCCCCAAAUUUUAAGAGGUAGAGCCGGGGUUGAAAUCAUCAUUUGGGUCUGGAAUGCAGUUCUCCUUAUUAAGUGCUCCAGGACUCAGUGCAUCCUACAUAAUCAGUCAUUCUUGGUCUCUGGAAUCUUCUCUCCCCAAAAUAGCAAUCAGAAGCUCUCUGUUUCAAAGCUCUCUCCUGUUCAGCAUUGCAUAAUCCUCUUUGCUCUUUUUUGAGAGGUAUCAUUAUUCCCAUUGUUCUGGUGAGAAAACUGAGGCUCAGAAGAGACAGGGCUAGCCUUGUGCCUGUCUCCUGACACCCAGGCAAGCUUUCCUUCUGCUUUGUUCUCAUAAAAUCCCUGCCCACAGCCUGGCUAGGCCCAGCCUGUCCUGCCUUCCUGUUCCCCACACUCAAGGCAGGAUGCGCUCCUCCAUGUUACUGCCAUUCGCUGCCACGAUGAUGAAGAGCCUAAGCCAGCUCAGCGAGGCAGCCGCUAGGGCUGCACUGUUGUUGGCAGACACAGGGCACCUUAUUUGGGACUUAGGAGCUGCAGAGGGGUGACUCCGCCUCCCUGCCAGUGUAACUGGCAUGUGCCUGGUCACCUUCUCCUCCCACCCAUCCUGGAGACCUCAGAUGCAGAUCCUACCCCUGCCAGACUUGAGGAUGGGAUGGCCCCCACACUUCUCCAAGAGCCAGCUACACAGGGGUGUAGCUGGUCACCUGUGAGCGAGGGCUGUGCAGAGAGCUAGGGACUGACUUCUCAAGAGAGGGCUCUGCAGCCAGCUGGCUUUGAGGGUCCCAGCUGGGUCAUGCCAGGGUCCACAUGGGACCAGCAGGGGCAGCAUAUGAUCAAGGGGUAAGAAUAUCAAGGCCCCUUCCAUCACCCCACUUUGGCCUAUGCUCACCAGUGUCUCUAGCCAACGGGCAGGAAUAGCGAAGGCUGGGCCUGCUCACUGCCCUCCUGCUCUUGAUCUUGCCCAGUGGCCUGUUAGGACAACUCAUACCUGACUCCCACCUAGCAGGGUCUUGGUCCUGCUCAGCGGUGCUUUCUGACUCCUGGGCUAGCCUGAUGUUGUUUUUUGUUUGUUGUUGUUGUUGUU